GUAGGUGGCAAGCGUUGUCCGGAAUUAUUGGGCGUAAAGCGCGCGCAGGCGGUUCUUUAAGUCUGAUGUGAAAGCCCACGGCUCAACCGUGGAGGGUCAUUGGAAACUGGAGAACUUGAGUACAGAAGAGGAAAGCGGAAUUCCACGUGUAGCGGUGAAAUGCGUAGAGAUGUGGAGGAAUACCAGUGGCGAAGGCGGCUUUCUGGUCUGUAACUGACGCUGAGGCGCGAAAGCGUGGGGAGCAAACAGGAUUAGAUACCCUGGUAGUCCACGCCGUAAACGAUGAGUGCUAAGUGUUAGGGGGUUUCCGCCCCCCUUAGUGCUGCAGCUAACGCAUUAAGCACUCCGCCUGGGAGUACGGCCGCAAGGCUG
rnacentral:rRNA from 1 species